CUUUAAACAAUACAAUAUGCAAACAAGUAUAUGAACACGUCCAAUUAGUCAUAACAGCAAAAUACAAACCACUGAUCUCAGUGUGAAUCAGUGGUUCAUUGAUCGACAUUGGAGCCUGUUGCUAUUUGUUGUCUUUGUAGUGUAUGUCAAAUUUACUUUUUAUGGAAAGAAUUGGAUACAGAUGAAAAAAUGCUUUGAUUUAUUAACUCCACGACAUUCAUUUUUCAAACUGUGACAGAAAACUGAAAUAUUGUAAGUAUUACAGAAAAAACAAGUAAACUAAAUUACAGUCAAACUUAUUGGAGGAUGAGACACAGCCACUGUAGAUACUCAGUCUCUGCUUUAGACCUCCUCUAUUUACGCUGGUAAAGAACAACACAGACCUGGUUUCAUUUUAAGGUCUAAAGACUCAUAGCAAAUUAAAGAUUUGAAGGAGUGUCAAACAGGUGCUAUGGUCAGUUCAUACUGGUUUGGCUGGUUUCUAAUAAUUAGGAACAGAUGGUUUCUCUUUGGUCUCCAAAGCUAAAACAAUGGAGUUUAGACUGUUUGAAUGACGUCAGUGUUAACUGUUUUGCAAAAUGGAGGAAAAAAUGUGUCCAUGAGAACGGGUUUACACAUUUGUUACAUGUGUCUGAUGCACUGUAAUAGUAAUAAAGUGACUAAACAGACUGGCAUUAUUUAAGUGGACAGCAGUAGUAAAGAAAACUAUCUCAGGUGUUCUCAUUUAAUAUGGACUAAAAAUAUAAAGUCCACAGAUUUUACUCAUUGUUUUAUGGUCUAUGAAUAAAGAACAAAUUCCCACAGAUUCACAUCUUUGAAUGCAGAUGGAAAGAUUUGCUUCUGUAACUUUUACUUUUGCUUUGCUGAGAUAAAGGAGGAGAUGAAGUGUCAGCAUCACUAAGGUCAGGCAAAGGUCAAGGUCAGCGUAAGCGUGGGUUCUGCUUAAAUUGAUUCCUGUGUCUGACGAGACCUAAGUCGGUGCAGAUGAGUCCACGUGAAGUCCAGGGAACUGCUUUGCAUCUGCUACAACCAUUCGCUUGCAUGAACGUCAUAACAUGGAUGUUAUGUCUGUGUAAUCUGCACAUUCACUGUCUGGAAGAGGUAACAUGGCACGUUUACACAAAGAAGAGUGAAACUUCCUGACAACACAAACUAUCGGUAGAAGUGAUCAUUUGAGGAAGCGAACAGGAACAAUGAUGACAUCAAAACUGGUUUUAAAGCAGCAAACUGAAGCGUUAAGAAAGCAGGAAGCAGACGUGUGCGAUGGUGGCUCAUAGAUCAGCUGAUACCUGACAACUGAAUGAUAGGAGCCACAGUCAGUCUGAACAAUGCAAACAUAUUAUUUAAAAAACUAUCAGUGAAUUUGUGACAAAAUAAACAUCAAGCGAAGAACA
rnacentral:lncRNA from 1 species